UUUCUCUGGCAGAUGGGUGAUUGGGUAGGGAGAGGAUGAUGCCACUUGCCCGGGGGCUUCUUGCCAGGAACUGAAGAAACACCAGGAGGAAGAACAACAAUCGGAGAAAAAACUCCAGCCACCUAAGAAGUUAAAUGUGCCGCAACCACCAGUGGCGAAAUUGUGGACAUCACAGGAGCAACCACAGCCAUCACAGCAGCAGCCAUCAGUGCAGCCACCAUCGCAGACACCACCACAGCCAUCAACUUUGCCACAGGCACAGGCGCAGGCACAGGC
rnacentral:sRNA from 1 species